rnacentral:rRNA from 1 species
UACAGAGGUGGCAAACGUUGUCCGGAUUUAUUGGGUGUAAAGGGCAUGUAGGUGGUUUUGUAAGUCAAAGGUGAAAUGGCCCGGCUUAACCAGGUCAUUGCCUUUGAUACUGCAAGGCUUGAGUACGGAAGAGGAGAGCGGAAUUCCAGGUGUAGCGGUGAAAUGCGUAGAUAUCUGGAGGAACACCGGUGGCGAAGGCGGCAUCCUGGACCGGUAUUGACGCUGAGGCGCGAAAGCUAGGGGAGCAAACGGG